rnacentral:lncRNA from 1 species
AGGAGUCUGAGUGCUUCAUUUGCAGAGAUGUUGGCCUUGUGGAUGAAGAUCCUUUGAGAACCUUCUGCGACUGUAAGAACCUUGUAGCUCACCACAGCUGUCUGCUAACCUGGAUCAAAAAGGAGCCAUCCAAAAUCAUUUGGCGACACUGGCAAGCACGGUGAUACUAAAUAGGAAUAAAGCUCUUGCUCAACGCUGAAGAGAAAGAAGACCGCGCACUGGAAUGGCAGGAGAGGCCAGACUGGCAAGAGGUCCUGUUGACCAAUACUGGUGUGUCAGGUGGGGCCCAGUAGAUUUGCCAGAGGGGGAGACCGAGGCAACAUUGGAGAAUAUAAAGAGGGAUCUGCUGAACAUCUACUCAGGCAUGUCAUCUACUCUCUUACUACCUCUGACCAAUGAACAAUAUUUAUCCUUUAUCCUAAAUCCAUGCUAUUGUGUGUUAACUAUGUUACAGUCAUGUGCCACUGCUGUGGACGCCAAUACUGCAGAACUCCCCGGUACCCCCUGCUUGAUCAUUCAAGGUAAUGUUACUUUGAUCUUGUACCGAUAUUUCUAACUCAUUAUUUUGUUUUCAUUCUAGAAA